rnacentral:rRNA from 1 species
UUUAAUUGAAGAGUUUGAUCAUGGCUCAGAUUGAACGCUGGCGGCAGGCCUAACACAUGCAAGUCGAGCGGUAACAUUUCUAGCUUG